CAAUAGCGUAUAUUAAAGUUGUUGCAGUUAAAAAGCUCGUAGUUGGAUUUCUGGUUGAAGCGACCGGUCGGGCGUUGAUUCGUCUGCACUGGAGUCGGUUUUGGCCAUCCUCUAGGAAAGUGCGUCUGGUAUUAAGUUAUCGGGCGUAUGAUCCUGGUCUUUUACUGUGAAAAAAUUAGAGUGUUUAAAGCAGGCCUUCGCCUUGAAUACAUUAGCAUGGAAUAAUAAGAUAGGACUUUGGUCUAUUUUGUUGGUUUGCGGACCGAAGUAAUGAUUAAUAGGGAUAGUUGGGGGUAUUUAUAUUCCGAUGUCAGAGGUGAAAUUCUUAGAUUUUCGGAAGAUAAACUUAUGCGAAAGCAUUUACCAAGGAUGUUUUCAUUA
rnacentral:rRNA from 1 species